rnacentral:rRNA from 1 species
GAGUUUGAUCCUGGCUCAGAUUGAACGCUGGCGGCAUGGCUAAAACAUGCAAGUCGAACGCGAAAGCACCUUCGGGUGCGAGUAGAGUGGCGAAAGGGCGAGUAAUGCAUUCCUUACGUACCCCCAGGUGAAGGAUAGUGUUGGGAAACCGGCAGUAAUACUUCAUAAUCCGGAAACGGCAAAGGCUUGCUGCCUGGGGAUCGGGGAAUGUCCUAUCAGCUUGUUGGUGAGGUAAAGGCUCACCAAGGCGAAGACGGGUAGCGGGUGUGAGAGCAUGACCCGCCGCAUCGGGACUGAGACACUGCCCGGACUCCUACGGGAGGCUGCAGUAACGAAUAUUCCGCAAUGCGCGAAAGCGUGACGGAGCAAUGCCGCGUGUAGGAUGAAGCCCCUUGGGGUGUAAACUACUGUCAGGGGUUAGGAAGUUCUGACUAGCCCCAGAGGAAGGACCGGCUAACUCUGUGCCAGCAGCCGCGGUAAUACAGAGGGUCCAAGCGUUAAUCGGAAUCACUGGGCUUAAAGCGUACGCAGGCGGACUGGCAAGUACCUUGUGAAAUCCCACGGCUCAACCGUGGAAUUGCUCGGUAGACUGCUAGUCUUGAACCCGGCAGGGGCUACUAGAACGUUAGGUGGAGCGGUGAAAUGCGUAGAUAUCUAACGGAAUACCAAUGGAGAAGUCAGGUAGCUGGGCCGGUGUUGACGCUCAUGUACGAAAGCGUGGGUAGCGAACGGGAUUAGAUACCCCGGUAGUCCACGCCCUAAACGAUGACAACUAGCUGUUGGGAGACAAUGUCUUUCAGUGGCGC